GAUUCCCCUAGUAACUGCGAGUGAAGCGGGAAAAGCUCAAAUUUAAAAUCUGGCGGUUAUGCCGUCCGAGUUGUAAUCUGGAGAAGCGUUUUCCGUGUUGGACCGUGUACAAGUCUCUUGGAACAGAGCGUCAUAGAGGGUGAGAAUCCCGUCUUUGACACGGACUACCAAUGCUUUGUGAUACGCUCUCAAAGAGUCGAGUUGUUUGGGAAUGCAGCUCAAAAUGGGUGGUAAAUGCCAUCUAAAGCUAAAUAUUGGCGAGAGACCGAUAGCGAACAAGUACCGUGAGGGAAAGAUGAAAAGCACUUUGGAAAGAGAGUUAAACAGUACGUGAAAUUGUUGAAAGGGAAACGCUUGAAGUCAGUCGCGUUGUCUGGGACUCAGCCUUGCUUCUGCAUGGUGUAUUUCCUGGUUAACGGGCCAACAUCGAUUUUGGUCGGUGGAUAAAGUCGAGAGGAAUGUGGCACCUUCGGGUGUGUUAUAGCCUCUUGUCGGAUGCAUCGACUGGGAUCGAGGAUCGCAGCACGCCUUUUUGGCCGGGGUUCGCCCACGUAACGUGCUUAGGAUGUUGGCAUAAUGGCUUUAAUCGACCCGUCUUGAAACACGGACCAAGGAGUCUAACAUGCCCGCGAGUGUUAGGGUGGAAAACCCUUGCGCGUAAUGAAAGUGAAAGUUGGGACCUCUGUCAUGGGGGGCACCGACGCCCGGCCUUGAACUUCUGUGACGGCGCCGCGGUAGAGCGUGUAUGUUGGGACCCGAAAGAUGGUGAACUAUGCCUGAAUAGGGCGAAGCCAGAGGAAACUCUGGUGGAGGCUCGUAGCGAUUCUGACGUGCAAAUCGAUCGUCAAAUUUGGGUAUAGGGGCGAAAGACUAAUC
rnacentral:rRNA from 1 species